rnacentral:rRNA from 1 species
AUUGAACGCUGGCGGCAUGCUUUACACAUGCAAGUCGAACGGUAACAGGGUGCUUGCACCGCUGACGAGUGGCGAACGGGUGAGUAAUGCGUCGGAACGUGCCGAGUAGUGGGGGAUAACGCAGCGAAAGUUGUGCUAAUACCGCAUACGUACUGAGGUAGAAAGUGGGGGACCUUCGGGCCUCACGCUAUUCGAGCGGCCGACGUCUGAUUAGCUAGUAGGUGAGGUAAAGGCUCACCUAGGCGACGAUCGGUAGCGGGUCUGAGAGGAUGGUGCGCCACACUGGGACUGAGACACGGGCCAGACUGCUACGGGAGGCAGCAGUGGGGAAUUUUGGACAAUGGGCGAAAGCCUGAUUCAGCCAUUCCGCGUGUCUGAAGAAGGCCUUCGGGUUGUAAAGGACUUUUGUCGGGGAGGAAAUCCCCAGCGUUAAUACCGCUGGGGGAUGACAGUACCUGAAGAAUAAGCACCGGCUAACUACGUGCCAGCCGCCGCCGUAAAAC